rnacentral:misc_RNA from 1 species
AAGUCGUAACAAGGUUUCCAACCUGCGGAACCUGCUCUCCUUGAAGGCAAUCCCUGGUACCGAGCUGCUUGCAGAUAACCAAGUCUGGGUCGAGAGGCCCCCUCUAUAUUAACCCCAAUUUACGUAAAGGGGAUGCGGAAACGCUCCUCAAAAAAAAAUCGAACAACUGUUAACAAUGGGUAUCUUGGUUCUC